rnacentral:rRNA from 1 species
ACGUAGGGUGCGAGCGUUAAUCGGAAUUACUGGGCGUAAAGCGUGCGCAGGCGGUUGUGCAAGACAGGUGUGAAAUCCCCGGGCUUAACCUGGGAAUUGCGUUUGAAACUACAGAGCUGGAGUGUAGCAGAGGGGGGUGGAAUUCCAUGUGUAGCAGUGAAAUGCGUAGAGAUAUGGAAGAACAUCGAUGGCGAAGGCAACCCCCUGGGUUAACACUGACGCUCAUGCACGAAAGCGUGGGGAGCAAACAGGA